AGGAUUAACGCUGGCGGCGUGCCUAACACAUGCAAGUCGAACGAGGUAGCAAUACCUAGUGGCAGACGGGUGAGUAACGCGUGGUCAACCUACCGUUGAGUGGGGGAUAACUAGCCGAAAGGUUAGCUAAUACCGCAUACGAGUCUCGGGGGCAUCCCUGGGCCUUAAAAGGAGCAAUCCGCUCGAUGACGGGACCGCGUCCCAUUAGCUAGAUGGUGGGGUAACGGCCUACCAUGGCACCGAUGGGUAGCUGGUUUGAGAGAGCGACCAGCCACACUGGGACUGAGAAACGGCCCAGACUCCUACGGGAGGCAGCAGUGAGGAAUUUUCCGCAAUGGGCGAAAGCCUGACGGAGCGACGCCGCGUGUGGGAAGAAGGCCUUCGGGUCGUAAACCACUGUCGAAGGGGACGAUAAUGACGGUACCCUUGGAGGAAGCCCGGCUAACUACGUGCCAGCAGCCGC
rnacentral:rRNA from 1 species